rnacentral:rRNA from 1 species
AACGAACGCUGGCGGCAGGCUUAACACAUGCAAGUCGAACGCCCCGCCAGGGGAGUGGCAGACGGGUGAGUAACGCGUGGGAACAUACCCUUUUCUACGGAAUAGCUCUGGGAAACUGGAAUUAAUACCGUAUACGCCCUACGGGGGAAAGAUUUAUCGGGGAAGGAUUGGCCCGCGUUGGAUUAGCUUGUUGGUGGGGUAAAGGCCUACCAAGGCGACGAUCCAUAGCUGGUCUGAGAGGAUGAUCAGCCACAUUGGGACUGAGACACGGCCCAAACUCCUACGGGAGGCAGCAGUGGGGAAUAUUGGACAAUGGGCGCAAGCCUGAUCCAGCCAUGCCGCGUGAGUGAUGAAGGCCUUAGGGUUGUAAAGCUCUUUCACCGAUGAAGAUAAUGACGGUAGUCGGAGAAGAAGCCCCGGCUAACUUCGUG